ACCUCCAACCACACUCACUGUACUACUACCCUCCCCAUUAUUCAUUAUGAUCUGAAAGGCUACACUGAUCCUAGAUCAGCAUUCCUACUUUGAGACGCUUUGUGAAAUACAGACCCUGGUGAGUAAUUGCAGUCUUUUGGUGUAAAUGGUCUCAAUCUCAGUGCUCAAAUGGGAAUAGGUUUCCCAGGUUACACUUAAGAGAACCAAACAGCACAUCUCGUUAGUGAACAGUAGGAUGUAUAGUGGGGUCCCAAAUUUAAAUAAUCUAAAAUUAAAUAAUCUAAACUUUUAUUUUAUUUAACGAGGCAAGUCAGUUAAGAACAAAUUCAUAUUUACAAUGACGGCCUAUUGUGGUCCUUCUGUAGCUCAGUUGGUAGAGCAUGGCGCUUGUAACGCCAGGGUAGUGGGUUCGAUUCCGGGACCACCCAUACGUAGAAUGUAUGCACAUUGGAUAAAAGCGUCUGCUAAAUGGCAUAUAUUAUUACAAAUGAUUGACACCUCGAUAAAGAUGAGCAAUUUAAUGACUAUAAAAUGAAUAAAUAAUAUUAUUUGAAUCUAAUUCUGCCAGGAGGCUGAAACUUGGCCAUAAGUGGAUCUUCCAGUAAUACAAUGACCCCAAGAAAACAACAUCAAAAUCCAUCCAACACAAGUUGUUAAUUGGCCACACAAAUCAACAUUUUGCUAUGGCCAUCUCACGCUCCGGGCUUGAAACCCAUUUGAGAACGUGUGGAUUUAAUUGGAGGGCGCAUCCAUCAAUCAUUUUGACCCCUCGCUUUUCGAGACUGAAAAAAGUAUUACUCGUUGAAAAAAAAAAAAGUAGUUUUUUUUUUUCUCUGAGCAAUUGAGGAAAACAGAUUUUUUUUUUUUUGGCAAAAAUAUCCUAAAAUUGUACGAGUAUAAAAUAAAUGUAAUUCUCCAAUAUAGCUCAGUAUUGACUUAUUUUACAUUUGUAAUUUAUGUGUCAAUUUCAGACCUCACUGUAUAUGAUGGUGCAGUAAUGAUUUCAUGAUUUAGUCACAAACCAGCAGUCAAAGAAUGUGUGGUCAUUUAGCCGUAAAAUAUAUAUAUAUAUUUUUGAUUUUGCUUAUUGAGUCCAUUUGAAACUAGCAUAUUGAUAUAUCCUUAAAUCUCAAAAGCUCCACCACCUUGGGUUGGCGUAAUAAGUUUAUUUCCAAAAUGUCACGUCCCUUUUGGGUUGUACUGUGCACUUUACUACAGACAACUAUUCUAGCUGCCGCCCACACCCCAAAACGAUUCAUUAUUACAAGAAAUGUAUAACUAAAAUGUAUCUUAAGAAAUUAUCGUAAGAAUGUCACUGUGACCAUUCUUCUUCUUCUUUUUUUAAUGGUAGCUAAAUGAACUUUUUGUUGUGGUAUAACAGUCAGCGGUGCCCAUAUAUUAAAAUAUGUUAACUAGAGUAUGACAAUAAAAUCCCAGAAUGACUUCAGUUAAGUGAUUUUUAUAGUAACUUAAAGUCAAAGAUUUAAAACUUAAAGAUUUUUAUAGUAACUUAAGUCAGACUUUCUGCCAAUAUAUCAAAAUGGAAAUAUGUAUCCCAUGUCUCACUGACUUAGUAUAACAUUGUAGUUCAAGGUAUAGCUGAGCUAAGGAACAACCAAAAACCGAAAACAGCUGCGUGAAAGUACUUGACCACUGAUUAAGGUUAUGGGACGCUCAGAAGGGACCGUAAUUUUAGAAAUGGAGCCCCAACAUACGGUUGAAGUCAUCCCAAAAGGCUGGAAUGACAACAUUUGGUGACAAAUGUACAAACAGCCUUGAUUUUAUGUAUGUAUUUGUGCCAUAGACAAUGUUGUCAAGGUCAUUCAUAUUUUCUUUGGUUGUCUAGUCUGAAGUCUGAAGAAGGGACUUUCAGUCUGAAGGGACUUUCAGGGACUUAUGACAAAAUGUUCCAACCAAUUCAUCUCUGAAGUUUGUAUCUACUAACCAUUUCAACGUGCUCUCAUUAAAGAUGUGCAUGAAGCUGCACCUAUAUUUGGGUGGUGAUGUAGUAUAGCAUACAACCCUACAUCUGGUCCUGCUGCCACUUCUAGGUCUGAUAGCAGCAGGCCUAGAAUCUCCACUUCUAGGUCUGAUAGCAGCAGGCGUGGAGUCUCCACUUCUAGGUCUGAUAGCAGCAGGCCUGGAGUCUCCACUUCUAGGUCUGAUAGCAGCAGGCGUGGAGUCUCCACUUCUAGGUCUGAUAGCAGCAGGCGUGGAGUCUCCACUUCUAGGUCUGAUAGCAGCAGGCCUGGAGUCUCCACUUCUAGGUCUGAUAGCAGCAGGCCUGGAGUCUCCACUUCUAGGUCUGAUAGCAGCAGGCCUGGAGUCUCCACUUCUAGGUCUGAUAGCAGCAGGCCUGGAGUCUCCACUUCUAGGUCUGAUAGCAGCAGGCCUGGAGUCUCCACUUCUAGGUCUGAUAGCAGCAGGCCUAGAAUCUCCACUUCUAGGUCUGAUAGCAGCAGGUCUAGAAUCUCCACUUCUAGGUCUGACAGCAGCAGGCGUGGAGUCUCCACUUCUAGGUCUGAUAGCAGCAGGCCUGGAGUCUCCACUUCUAGGUCUGACAGCAGCAGGCUUCAGUUAUGCACACUUGCCUAUACAGUAAUAAGCUGCUUUCAUGCCUUGAUAACAUCUCCAUAUAUUUUUAUUUAUUUUCCAAAGGUAAGUUUAACCAUUAACAAGGGGAGAAGGGAAUUGCUGGAUUCCUCAAUACCCCAGUCAUUCUGUUGCAUUACAUUGUCAAUUUAAGAGCUCUGUACUCUUGACUAUUUUGAUAAACUAAUAAUAAGUGUACAAUUAUUUAACUUCUGUUAUUUUGUUUCCAUGUUUUAAUGCAAGACAGUCAUACUCAGAAACAUCUUGUUCAAAUAGUGUAUUGGUGGACAGAUUUCUGAUUCAACAGCCAUACUUGUUUGAUCUGUUAUUUUGUACAAUUAGAAAGAAGAAAGAAAAAAAGCCAUUUAAUUACAAGAAUGACUUGAGCCAUUAAUUACACUGAUGAUCAAGUUCAAGACGAACAGGAAAUGGUAGUGAAAAGUUUGGAUGGUUUUAAGACCUCCCAGCAGUGUUCGAAAACAGUAUUGAAUAUGUUGUGUUGUUGACAUUGAUAUAUUUUGUUCUUAUUUACAAAUGUUAAUUCUUUGAUUUUGGGCCAUUGGUUUCACUUCCUAGCCCUUUGUUACUGUGGUGAAGACAGCCUCAAACCUUCAUCGUUUUUAUAUUUUGGUUGCUUUAGAACAUCGUCAUCAACAUACAGAUAGAUGUUCAUAACAACUUUUUGUUCCUGUGAAACACCGGUUAUUGUAGGAAUGUCAGAACUGUUGGUUAAGCAGGUUGUUUGUAUGCUGCCUCUCCUGGGAAAGGAAAGUAUACUGCGUUAAGAUGCAUAAGUUGUAUAUAAAAAUUAAAAAUAUUAAAAAUAUCUGUUUUUCCAACAGACAAACUAUGUAAAUGAUCUUGUACCAUACUGUGAAUGUUUUUUUGAUUUUUAAAAAAUAUAUAUAUAUAUACAAAUGCUUAAUGGUGAUAAAUAAAAACAUUAUUCAAAAGCAAUA